rnacentral:pre_miRNA from 1 species
CAGCUCGUCAAAGUGGACGUGAUUUGUUGUGGAAGUACGUUUCAUAUCACAGCCAGCUUUGAUGUGCUGUC